rnacentral:rRNA from 1 species
GACGAACGCUGGCGGCGUGCUUAACACAUGCAAGUCGAACGUGAAAAGGGGCAACCCUGAGUAAAGUGGCGUACGGGUGAAUAACACGUGGAUAAUCUACCUUAGAGCCUGGAAUAACCUGCCGAAAGGCGGGCUAAUACUGGAUAGAGCGACGGAACUCGUGAAGAGUUUUUCGGGAAAGGGAGCUCGCAAGAGCCCUCACUCUAAGAUGAGUCUGCGUCUCAUUAGCUAGUUGGUAGGGUAAUGGCCUACCAAGGCUAUGAUGAGUAGCUGGUCUAAGAGGAUGAUCAGCCACACUGGAACUGAGACACGGUCCAGACUCCUACGGGAGGCAGCAGUGGGGAAUAUUGCGCAAUGGACGAAAGUCUGACGCAGCAACGCCGCGUGAGUGAAGAAGGCCUUCGGGUUGUAAAGCUCUGUCGAGCGGGACGAAAAACUUGCCGGUGAAUAGCCGGUGAGCUUGACGGUACCGCUAAAGGAAGCACCGGCUAACUCUGUGCCAGCAGCCGCCGUAA